AGAGUUUGAUCCUGGCUCAGAACGAACGCUGGCGGCGUGGCUAAGACAUGCAAGUCGAACGAACUAUUCGAUUGAGUAAUCGAGAGAAUAGUUAGUGGCGAAAGGGUGAGUAACGGAUGGGUAACGUACCCUGUGCCUCGGAAUAGCGUCUCCCGCAUCCUUGUGGUGCGGGAUUCCGAAAGGGGCAGUAAUACCGAAUAAUAUCACUUGUCGACGGACAAAUGUUCAAAGAUUUAUCGGCGCAGGAGCGGCCUAUCUCCUAUCAGCUUGUUGGUGAGGUAACGGCUCACCAAGGCAAUGACGGGUAGCGGGACUGAGAGGUUGGCCCGCCACAUCGGGACUGAGACACUGCCCGGACCUCCACGGAGGGCUGCAGUAACGAAUAUUGGGCAAUGGGCGAAAGCCUGACCCAGCGACGCCGCGUGUAGGAGGAAGUCCCUCGGGAUGUAAACUACUGUCAGGGGUAAGAAAGUGUACUUCGGUGCAUUGAUCUAACCCAAAGGAAGUCACGGCUAACUUCGUGCCAGCAGCCGCGGUAAGACGAAGGUGGCAAGCGUUGUUCGGUAUCACUGGGCUUAAAGGGUGUGUAGGCGGGAAGGUAAGCAUUUUGUGAAAGCCCCCGGCUUAACCGGGGAAUUGCUGGAUGUACUGCCUUUCUUGAGGCAAGCAGGGGUGCAUGGAACUCUUGGUGGAGCGGUGGAAUGCGUAGAUAUCAAGAGGAACGCCGGUGGAGAAAUCGGUGCACUGGGCUUGUGCUGACGCUGAGACACGAAAGCGUGGGGAGCGAACGGGAUUAGAUACCCCGGUAGUCCACGCCGUAAACGAUGUCUACUAGUUGUGGAGGUUCUGACACUCCCACGGCCGAAGCAAAAGUGUUAAGUAGACCGCCUGGGGAGUACGGCCGCAAGCUAAACUCAAAGGAAUUGACGGGGCUCACACAAGCGGUGGAGCAUGUGAUCAAUUCGAAGCACGCCGCAGAACCCUACCUGGGUUUGACAUGCUUGAUGCCGUCUUGAAACAGAUUGCCUGCCCGUAGAUGAACUUGCCACAGUGCUGCAUGCUGUCGUCAGCUCGUGUCGUGAGAAUGUCGGUAAGUCCUUACCGAGCGAAACCUUGCCGUUAGUUGCACGGUAUGCCAGGACCUCUAACCGAACUGCCGGGUUACGGAGAAGGUGGGAAUGAACUUCAGUCUCAGGCCUUAGCCCAG
rnacentral:rRNA from 1 species